rnacentral:rRNA from 1 species
AUUGAACGCUGGCGGCAGGCCUAACCCAUGCAAGUCGAACGAGUGGCGGACGGGUGAGUGAUGUCUGGGAAACCGCCCGAUGGCGGGGGAUAACUACUGGAACCGGUAGCUAAUACCGCAUACCAUCGGAUGUGCCCAGAUGGGAUUAGCUAGUAGGUGGGGUAACGGCUCACCUAGGCGACGAUCCCUAGCUGGUCUGAGAGGAUGACCAGCCACACUGGAACUGAGACACGGUCCAGACUCCUACGGGAGGCAGCAGUGGGGAAUAGGGCACAAUGGGCGCAAGCCGGAGGCAGCCAUGCCGGGUGUAUGAAGAAGGCCGUCGGGUUGUAAAGUACUUUCAUCGGGGAGGCGGUACUCGCAGAAGAAGCUCCGGCUAACUCCGUUCCAGCAGCCGCGGUAAUUC